AUUGUUGUUCUGGGACGCUCAGGGUUAAUUGCUGCAUGUUUGCUGCUGCAGCUGUCUGUCUCCAUGACGCCCAGUGCUGCUCUAGAGAUCCUGAGGGAGCUGAGAGGAGGCGGAGCCAUUCAGACCAUCAAGCAAUACAACUUCCUUCAUGAGUUUCGUGAGAAGUUUGAAGCAUAUCAAGAAACCAAAGAGCGGCUUUCAGAGAGAUCAGUGUCCCGAUGAUCAACCUGACAUCCAGAUGAUGUAAAAGCAGAAAAAAAGACAAAUUACUUUAAUUGGUGUUUUUGCUCUAUAGAUUUUCUCUACUUUAUGAAUGCAUUUGUUUAUUUUCUGAUGGCACUUUAAAAAUUCUGUAUUUUUAUAAGUCGAUCUAAUAAUAUUGUGCUUAAUAUAUAACUUUAAUUUUGCAAUUAAAUGGGUCUUGUUCAGUAAGUGAGUCUCCUGUGUGUGAUUUCUGAGAAACACUGUUGGAAAUUAUCAACACCCAAACAAACAAUUUUGUGAAUAUUUGUGUGUGUGUGCUGAAAC